CUCUACAUUAGCUCUUUUGGGGUUCCUGCCAUUUUGUCUAUACAAAACGAUUUUUCAAGCUGUGCUUUUUUUUUUUUUUUUUUUUUUUGCAGGAAAUCUCCGGGAUUCAGCAGUGACCUGGGGCAAGAAUGCUUCACAAUAUAAAUGAAUGGACUAAUACUGAACAAACAAACUGACUAAACAUGCCUAGCGCUACACAUGCACUAAGUAUUUUUCUGCUCUACCCUUUGCAUUUCCAUUUUAACCAUAAAACCCGACAGACCGUUCUCAUGUAUCGUUUACCGUAUUAGAGCUCCAUUGUGAGUCAUAAUGACUAAUAAUGUAUGUUACUCUGUGCACACAAGCACGCGUGUUUUGGUUGCUGGAAAAGUCUCAAGCAGACAACACAAAGUGUGCUGCCCCAGAAAUGCCAUCAAAAGAAAAUAACCAGGGCCACAAUGUGUGACAAGAGGAUUGAAAGCUUUUCAUUUUUAAAUCACAUACCUGUGUUUUGAAUUUAGAAGUAAAUCGGGACAUGUCAUUCCCUAGACCCAACAAAUGUGGCCACAAUAACAAAAAUGCCACUCGGAAAGGCUUUUUAGCAAUUCCUGCUUGUUCCCCAUAGCAUGAGGAAUCCAAAAAAAGGUUCUUGUUACAGUAGGCCAAAAAGAGGACGGGGAAUCAGAGCGCUUAAAACAGGAGAAAGAGAUGACAAGGUGAUAAAUAGAUAAGAACCCCACCUGGCUGCCUUAACCAGGAGCAGGGACACAAAUUCCCAUUUUUCUGUGCUGCAGGUCAGUACAGGGGGAGAGGGAGGAGGACAGGCUCCUUCUCACAUGCCGUGGCCAGAAAGCUGUAGCUACUAAGUGUGGGUACGGUUGGCCUUUUCCACACAGCUGCCAGCGGAGAUGGGGAAUUCUUGCUGCACAAGCAAUGAAAAUUUGAACCUUUGUUCCUUCUAUACAUUUACUAAGAAAACAUCCUUUUCUCCUCUCCACUGAAGCAUGAAUUUAAUUCUCUUAUGGUACAGUUUUUUUUUUCUAUAUUAUUAUUUUAUGGGACAGUAUCCAGCCCUUUACGACUUAAGUGCCAGAAGAAUUGAAAUCAAGCUCCUUUACAUACCACAUUAUGUUUAACACCAUUAUAAAAUUUAAUAAAAGUAUAACUUGAAUACUACAAAGUUAGAUGUAGCAUUUUCCUCUUAACAGGUAUAUCAAUGAUACUGAGACAUUUGACAGUUUCAAGGAGCAGCAAGAGGAUGACACAGUCAGUGUUGGAAAUGGUUUAUCCCAUUUUUCACCAGGUGAUUUUAGUGAGGUCUGUGCUUUUAUUUUCCUUAAUCCCACACUUUUGGGGCGCUUUUGUUUUUCCUUUACCAAUUCCACCUCUUUCUCUCAUUAGAAAAUGAAUUUUGUCUUGAUCACCAUAGGAAAAAUUUCUUCUCAGAAAGCAUGGUGAGGCAUUGGAAAAGGCUUCCCGAGGAGAUGGAUCAGUCACCAACCCUGAAGGUUUUGAAGAAAAUGGCAGAUGUGGCACUUAGAGACAUGGGCUAAUUUCAGCAUUCAUCUGACCAGUGUCUGUGCACUAUGAAGUGAAGUGAAACCACUGGGCCCUGAAGGCUCAUCCAACCUCAGAACACAGCUUCCCACAGUGACUGGUCAGAGUCCUUCUGCAAGCCACUGAUCUACAACUAGAAGACCUGGAUCUCCCUUGGAGCUCUCUGUUUUGAAUCAAGGUACUGCUUUCAGUACUGAAAAUGCCAUUUCUCAUCUGGAAAUCUUUAGUUCUUCUCUUUAGUUCAGAGGCAUAGCUAUGCUGAAGCCUGCUUUAGAGCUCUUUUUAUCAUGUUCAGGAGAGAAAAAGAAAGAAACCGCUUGUGAAAAAAUUACAUUUCCAGUUUAAAUGCAUUACCCUACUUUAAUUUCAGAAACGGGUCUUUCUUGGCAGUACCACGCAGAAGUAUUUGAAAUGCAUUAACACUUCGGCAGAUGCUCAGAAUCAAGCAACUUAAUAGGCAUCAACUUUUUUCAAAUAAUUGCAAAGCUUCGAUUUAGCCUUUUGCAUACCUUGCAUAGUUAAUUACCUAGGCUUUAAUGUUUACAUGCAAUGAGAGUAUCUACAGCUAUAAACUACAUAAUUUAUAAUUGAUGUAAAUGGGUGUUAUUAUGUCAAUUAGGCAGCUGUGUCCUCCACCUUCUCAGUAAACAGAAAUGAGUGAUAAACCCGGUUUGCAGGGAGAGACCCUCUUCUCUUGCUAACAGAUAAAAAUAAAUUACCCAGGUAGA